rnacentral:rRNA from 1 species
UACGUAGGGUGCGAGCGUUGUCCGGAAUUACUGGGCGUAAAGAGCUCGUAGGUGGUUUGUCGCGUUGUUCGUGAAAACUCACAGCUUAACUGUGGGCGUGCGGGCGAUACGGGCAGACUGGAGUACUGCAGGGGAGACUGGAAUUCCUGGUGUAGCGGUGGAAUGCGUAGAUAUCAGGAGGAACACCGGUGGCGAAGGCGGGUCUCUGGGCAGUAACUGACGCUGAGGAGCGAAAGCGUGGGGAGCGAACAGG